rnacentral:rRNA from 1 species
GACGAACGCUGGCGGCGUGCUUAACACAUGCAAGUCGAGCGGUAAGGCCCUUUCGGGGGUACACGAGCGGCGAACGGGUGAGUAACACGUGGGUGACCUGCCCUUAGCUCUGGGAUAAGCCUGGGAAACUGGGUCUAAUACCGGAUAUGACUCCAUGACGCAUGUUGUGGGGUGGAAAGCCUUGUGCGGCUAGGGAUGGGCCCGCGGCCUAUCAGCUUGUUGGUGGGGUGAUGGCCACCAAGGCGACGACGGGUAGCCGGCCUGAGAGGGCGACCGGCCACACUGGGACUGAGACACGGCCCAGACUCCUACGGGAGGCAGCAGUGGGGAAUCUUGCGCAAUGGGCGAAAGCCUGACGCAGCGACGCCGCGUGGGGAUGACGGCC